rnacentral:rRNA from 1 species
UACGGAGGGUGCAAGCGUUAUCCGGAUUCACUGGGUUUAAAGGGUGCGUAGGUGGGUCUGUAAGUCCGUGGUGAAAUCUCUAGGCUUAACCUGGAAACUGCCAUGGAUACUAUAGGUCUUGAAUACUGUGGAGGUCAGCGGAAUAUGUCAUGUAGCGGUGAAAUGCUUAGAUAUGACAUAGAACACCAAUUGCGAAGGCAGCUGGCUACACAAAUAUUGACACUGAGGCACGAAAGCGUGGGGAUCAAAACAGG